rnacentral:rRNA from 1 species
GAAUAUUGGACAAUGGGCGAAAGCCUGAUCCAGCCAUGCCGCGUGCAGGAUGAAGGCCUUCGGGUUGUAAACUGCUUUUGUACGGAACGAAAAGUCUCGGGCUAAUACCCUGGGACCAUGACGGUACCGUAAGAAUAAGCACCGGCCAACUACGUGCCAGCCGCCGCGGUAAUACGUAGGGUGCAAGCGUUAAUCGGAAUUACUGGGCGUAAAGCGUGCGCAGGCGGUUUUGUAAGACAGAGGUGAAAUCCCCGGGCUCAACCUGGGAACUGCCUUUGUGACUGCAAGGCUAGAGUACGGCAGAGGGGGGUGGAAUUCCGCGUGUAGCAGUGAAAUGCGUAGAUAUGCGGAGGAACACCGAUGGCGAAGGCAACCCCCUGGGCCUGUACUGACGCUCAUGCACGAAAGCGUGGGGAGCAAACAGG